GGGGUUGUGGCUUAGCGGUAGAGUGCUUACCUAGCACGAAUGAAGCCCUGGGUUCCAUCCUCAGCACCACA
rnacentral:tRNA from 1 species